rnacentral:rRNA from 1 species
AUUGAACGCUGGCGGCAGGCCUAACACAUGCAAGUCGAACGAGUGGCGGACGGGUGAGUAAUGUCUGGGAAACUGCCCGAUGGAGGGGGAUAACUACUGGAAACGGUAGAUAAUACCGCAUACCAUCGGAUGUGCCCAGAUGGGAUUAGCUAGUCGGUGGGGUAAAGGCUCACCUAGGCGACGAUCCCUAGCUGGUCUGAGAGGAUGACCAGCCACACGGGAACUGAGCAACAGGCCAGACGCCUACGGGAGGCAGCAGUGGGGAAUAUUGCACAAUGGGCGCAAGCCUGAUGCAGCCAUGCCGCGUGUAUGAAGAAUGCCUUCGGGUUGUAAAGUACUUUCAGCGGGGAAGCGGUACUCGCAGAAGAAGCACCGGCUAACUCCGUGCCAGCAGCCGCGGUAAUAC